rnacentral:rRNA from 1 species
UACGUAGGGUGCAAGCGUUGUCCGGAAUUAUUGGGCGUAAAGAGCUCGUAGGCGGUCAGUCGCGUCUGCUGUGAAAACUCGGGGCUUAACCCCGGGCCUGCAGUGGGUACGGGCUGACUAGAGUGCGGUAGGGGAGACUGGAAUUCCUGGUGUAGCGGUGAAAUGCGCAGAUAUCAGGAGGAACACCGGUGGCGAAGGCGGGUCUCUGGGCCGUAACGGACGCUGAGGAGCGAAAGCGUGGGGAGCGAACAGG